UGAGACUCUACUCUGUGUGUGUGUGUGUAUGUGUGAGAUAUAUAUAUAUAUAUAUACACACACACACACACACACACACACACAUAUAUAUAU
rnacentral:miRNA from 11 species